GAACAACCUCUUCAAAAAGAGAUAAACAACACUACACAGGGUGCUGCUGGGUGGUCACUGACAACACAUUUACUUCAAAGAGAAAUGGCUGUCAGGUGACUCACAGCCACAGGAAAUAAAGAACAAGAGAGCGAGGGAGAUGAAAACCAAAUACAAAUAACAGAGCUGAAGAGAUUAAAUCAGAAUGCUUCUCAGCAAUGAAGCGAUGUGACUAGCCUCUUGGGUGGUCUUUUAUU
rnacentral:lncRNA from 1 species